rnacentral:rRNA from 1 species
GUGGGGAAUCUUGCGCAAUGGGCGAAAGCCUGACGCAGCCAUGCCGCGUGAAUGAUGAAGGUCUUAGGAUUGUAAAAUUCUUUCACCGGGGACGAUAAUGACGGUACCCGGAGAAGAAGCCCCGGCUAACUUCGUGCCAGCAGCCGCGGUAAUACGAAGGGGGCUAGCGUUGCUCGGAAUUACUGGGCGUAAAGGGCGCGUAGGCGGACAGUUUAGUCAGAGGUGAAAGCCCAGGGCUCAACCUUGGAAUUGCCUUUGAUACUGGCUGUCUUUGGUACGGGGGAAGUGAGUGGAACUCCGGGUGUAGAGGUGAAAUUCGUAGAUAUUCGGAAUAACACCAGUGGCGAAGGCGACUCACUGGCCCGUUACUGACGCUGAGGUGCGAAAGCGUGGGGAGCAAACAGGAUUAGAAACCCCGGUAGUCC